rnacentral:rRNA from 1 species
CCAGACUCCUACGGGAGGCAGCAGUGGGGAAUAUUGCACAAUGGGUGCAGGCCUGAUGCAGCCAUGCCGCGUGUAUGAAGAAGGCCUUCGGGUUGUAAAGUACUUUCAGUCGGGAGGAAGGUGGUAAGGUUAAUAACCUUAUCAAUUGACGUUACCGACAGAAGAAGCACCGGCUAACUCCGUGCCAGCAGCCGCGGUAAUACGGAGGGUGCAAGCGUUAAUCGGAAUUACUGGGCGUAAAGCGCACGCAGGCGGUCUGUCAAGUCGGAUGUGAAAUCCCCGGGCUCAACCUGGGAACUGCAUUCGAAACUGGCAGGCUGGAGUCUUGUAGAGGGGGGUAGAAUUCCAGGUGUAGCGGUGAAAUGCGUAGAGAUCUGGAGGAAUACCGGUGGCGAAGGCGGCCCCCUGGACAAAGACUGACGCUCAGGUGCGAAAGCGUGGGGAGCAAACAGGAUUAGAUACCCCUGUAC